rnacentral:RNase_P_RNA from 1 species
CAAGCAGGCAAGGCAAUCGCCCCGAUUAACAUCGGGGAGGAAAGUCCGAACACCCACUCCAUUUGGUUUUACCCGAUGGAUUAAAAAAAUAGCGGCUAACAGCCGUCGACCGUGAGGUUAGAGGUGCGAACAGAGACGUGCGAAACCGAAAGGUUGAGCAUCCCGUCGAAUGACGGGACAGUCCUACAGCAAUGUAGGGGUGAAACGGUUAAACCCUUAUUGGGUGCAAGAGUAAACCUGAAGUUCUGGGAUUUAUCUGGAGCUUUUGGGAAAAGUAACUCGCUUAAGUCCAAGAGUAAUCUUGGUUCUAGACAAAUGAUUGCCACCAACCGCGGAGCGGUUGGACAAAAUUCGGCUUAUUGCCUGGUUGAGCU